CCUACGGGAGGCAGCAGUGAGGAAUAUUGGGCAAUGGGCGCGAGCCUGAACCAGCCAAGGCGCGUGAGGGAAGACGGUCCUAUGGAGUGUAAACCUCUUUUGUCGGGGAGCAAAAGACGCCACGCGUGGCGGUCCGAGAGGAACCGAAGAAAAAGCAGCGGCUAACUCCGUGCCAGCAGCCGCGGUAAUACGGAGGAUGCGAGCGUUAUCCGGAUUUAUUGGGUUUAAAGGGUGCGCAGGCGGAAGAUCAAGUCAGCGGUAAAAUUGAGAGGCUCAACCUCUUCGAGCCGUUGAAACUGGUUUUCUUGAGUGAGCGAGAAGUAUGCGGAAUGCGUGGUGUAGCGGUGAAAUGCAUAGAUAUCACGCAGAACUCCGAUUGCGAAGGCAGCAUACCGGCGCUCACCUGACGCUCAUGCACGAAAGUGUGGGUAUCGAACAGGAUUAGAUACCCGAGUAGUC
rnacentral:rRNA from 1 species